GGGGGGAUGUGCUGGGGUUGUGGGAUGGAAAUCCUAUAAAAUUGGAUUGUGAUGGUCAUUGUACAAGUAUAAAUGUAGUAAAUUCAUUGACUACUAAAAAAUGAAAAACUAAAAUAAAUUAAAUUAAAUAACAAAAUGAAUCAUGCCCUUAACAUCCACCCCUAGUAACAAAAGAUGGAAAUACAUGGCUGCUUUGGGAGUUUUUUGGCUUCUUACUACUAUAUCCAGAUUGCAACCUAGAGAAUAUGGCUGCUUUGGGCAGUCUUUGGCAUCUUACUAUUAUAUCCAGAUUGCAACCUAGAGAAUAUUGCUACUUAACAUUUCUUUUUUUUUUUUUAAUAUCCUCACAAUUUUUUAUAUCUUACUGAUUCUUCAACAAAGGCAUUACACCAUUCUAGGUGAUGUGAUAAACAAGACAUUAUAGACUUUACAUUGUACCAUGGAGAGAAAUGGUUAUUAAUAAUACUAUUGUAGACCUAUAUUAUUUCAUUGUACAGUUGCAUUAUUUAAUUAUAAUUAUCAUAAAUUAUUUGAUGGAGAGUAAACCAGAAUCAGUUCUAAGAAGCAGCAUUCCAAUUACGAUGUCAAAUGACCCCCUUCAUGGUGGAUUAUGCACUUAUUUACUAUGAGGUAUAUUUCAUCUUCAGAGAUUCCUUGUUGUGUAUCAACUGUAGAUUUUUGGUUUGCAGUUGUUCUGAAGUUUUGAUAUAAGUGUCUAUAUGUAUAUACGAGAUUGUUUUAAGUUGUUGUUCUCUUAAUUGCAAGUUCAUCUCCAGUGUCCUGCAUUUGUACCCACCUCUUCUCAUGAUUUCUAAUUUUGGUGGUAUAAUCAUGCAUGAAUGUAUAUAUAAAUGUAUAUAUACCUUACUGGUGAGCAUUGUCAUUUGUGGAAUUUUUGUUUCCUGUUGCUGUCUUUUCUUUUCUGCCUAGAGAAGUUCCUUUAGUAUUUGUUGUAAGACUGGUUUAGUGUUGCUGAAUUCUCUCAGCUUUUGCUUAUGGGUAAAGGUUUUGAUUUCUCCUUCAAAUCUGAAUGAAAGCCUUGCUGGGUAGAGUAAUCUUGGUUGGAGGUUUUUUCCUUUCAUCACAUUAAGUAUAUCAUGCCACUUCCUUCUGGCCUGCAGAGUUUCAGCUGAAAAAUCUGCUGAUAAACUUAUUGGGGUUCCCUUGUAUGUUACUUCUUUUCCCUAGCUGCUUUCAAGAUUUUCUCUUUGGCUUUAAUUUUGGUUAGUUUGAUUAAUAUGUGUCUUGGUGUAUUCUUCCUUGGGUUUAUUUUAUAUGGUAUUUGUGCUUCCUGGAUUUGAGUGAGUGGUUCCUUUCACAUGUCAGGGAAGUAAGUUUUCGGCUAUUAUAUCUUGGAAUAUUUUUUCUGUCCCCUUCUCUCUGUCUUCUUCUGGCACCCCUAUAAUAUGGAUGUUGGUGCAUUUAACAUUGUCCCAGAGCUCUCUGAGACACUUUUCAUUUGUUUUCAAUCUUUUUUCUCUUUUCUGUUCCACAUCCGUAAUCUCCACUAAUCUGUCCUCCACCUUUGCUUAUUCAUUCUUCUGCCUCCUGCAUUCUGCUCUUAGCUGCUUCUAGUGAAUUUUUUAUUUCAGUUAUUGUAUUUUGCAUCUCUUCUUAAAUUUUUCAGCUUGUAUCUCUUUUCCCAGUGAUUCCUGUAAGUUAUCCAUCUUUGCCUCCAGUUUAUUCCCAAUGUCUUGCAUCAUCUUCCACAUUGACAGUCUAAAGUCUUUUUCCUGGAGGCUGAGAAUCUCCUCAUUGCUUAGCUGAUUUUCUGGGGGUUUUCCUUUCUUCCUCAUCUGAAUUAGAGUUCUCUGUAUUUUAAUUUUUAUAGGUUUUUUGGUGUGGUGACCUUUUUACAGAUAAUAGAGUUUAGCCUUUCUUACUUCUGGUGUCUGCCCCCCUUGUGGCUGUAAUUAGUACUGGGGGGGGCUUGCUGUAGGAUUCCCGAUGGGAGGGACUGAUGCCUGCCCACUGAUAGGUGGAGCUGAUUCCUAUCCCUCUGGUGGGUGGGGCUUUGGCUCUGGAUGAGCUUAGAGGUGGCUGUGUGCCUGAGGGGUCUUUAGGCAGUGUGUUUCCUGAGGGGCAGGGCUGUGAUCCCACCUGGAUUGUUGUUUGCCUUGGGCUUUCUCAGUGCUGAUUGGUGGGGCCAGAUUUUCCCAAAAUGGCCACCUCCAGAGAAAGGCAGCUGCUGAAUAUUCCCGAGAGUUUUGCCUUCAAUGUCCCUCCCACAACAAGCCACAUUCUCCCCUGUUUUCCCAGGAUGUCCUCCAAGAACUGCAUUCAGGUUUGACCCAUAUUCCUAUGGAGACUUUGCUUUGCCCUGGGAUCCAGUGCAUGUGAAAAUCCGUGUGUGCCUUUUAAGAAUGGGGUCUCCAUUUCCCCAGUCCUGUGGAGCUCCUGCACACAAGCCCCACUGGCCUUCAAUGCCAGAUGCUCCAGGGGCUCUUUCUCCCAGUGUCGGAUCCCCACACGUGAGGGUUUUAUGUGGGGCUCAGAACUCUCACUCCUGUAGGUGAGUCUCUCUCUGUGAACCAGUUAGUUUCCAGUGUGUGGGGCUUCCCACCCGGAAGGUAUGGGGUUGUUUAUAUCACGAAUUCGCCCAUCCUAUCUCUUGAUGUUACCUCCUCUUUUUCUUCUGGAGUAGGGUAUCUUUUUUAAGGUUUCCAGUACUUUUGGGUGGGGAUUGCUCAGCUUUUAGUUGUGAAUUUUGUUGUUUUUAGGAGAGAAGUUGAGCUCCAGUCCUUCUAUUCUGCCAUCUUAAUCCUCUCUCUGCUGGCUACCUAGAAGUUUGAAUAGGAUAAUAAAUGUCAUGUGAUGGUGACAUGGCUAGUCAUGUGACAUAAGAACAACUUAAGCAACUAUUCAUCCAGAAAAGGCUGGUAGAAGUCCAAGUCUUCAUAUCAAUGUUAACAUUUCACUAGAAAGCUUAUGCCCUAAUAUGGACAUGCUUGUUAUUGGCUACUAUGCAGCAAAUCUUGACCAGCACAAUUAAAAAUAGAUUGUGCAAAUAUAUGGUCUGUCUUUUAAAUCAACAAAUAAACAAAGAUUAAUUCCAUAAUAGGUAAAACCUAGUCAUGUGUCCUUCACCAAGAUCAACACUGACGAUGGGCAGAAGGUACAAAGACACAAUAGAGAUGGUACAGAAAAUUGUAAUACAAAAUGAAAACCUAUGAUUAGGAACCAGAUGGAAAGUUAACAAUAUCAGCGAAAAACAAAACCCAGCUAAAAUUUGUCCAAUACUGCAUUUCUUAGAGUUAGCUUUAAAAUCCCACACCUGAAUUGACUUUUUCUCUAUUAAGUAUGAAAAGCACAACUUUGUCCCUAACCUUGUCUGCAGAAUUAUCCUAUAUAAUAUCUACCUGUGAAACACACACAUAUACAGCAGCCCAACAGUAAAAACCACAAUAUGAGUUAAAAACUACUUGACUUUGACACACAUUCUUCUCUGCAAUUCUGUGAUAUUUGUGAUAAUAAUUUGAUUGUAAAUUAAGCUAAGUAUUACUCAGGAUUUUUGAACUGUUCUUAGCUAAAUCCCUUAAUGAUUCUUUAUUUUGGACCUGGAUUUUUUUUUUAUUUUGUUCCCAUAUUCUGCUAUAAUAAUAGAUGCCUCUACAUAAACAUUCCUCUGAAUAUUGCCUUCACUUCACCUUCUUGCACUAAGAGAAAUCUGAAACUUCUUGAGGACAUUGCUACCUCUGCAGUGCUUUUAAGGGGUGGCUAUUUUUCCUCCUCCAACCCCACUUGCCAUUAAGUUUGAAAAUGGCAUAUAUAUUCAUCACUCUUCAUUGUUUUUCCUGGUUGCUAGUUCCUCCACAUCCCUGAAAGUGCCCUGCUCCUUUGAAGCACUUAUCAUUGGCCUUUACUCCCCCUGGCAUGUGGCAGGCAUCUACCAUCCUUCCGGACCCAGACUUCUGAUCUAUCAUUCUUCUGGUUACUCCUUCUCUUCCAAUGAAUAUUAGAUUACCCUGUUUAGUGCCCUUCUCUCUACCAUCUUUCUUGUCAUCUUUCUCUAAAAAACACUAACUCAGUGAAAACUCAAUUCCCAGAAAUUCAUUUCUUUGAUGUUCUUACCUCCAACCUCCAAUCAUCUUGUCUCCUUCUUACAUCCGGUACCCACUCCAUGGACACAAAACCAAUAACUACAUCACAUCAAAACUAUCAAAUAUAUGUUCAUGCAUUGUUUAAGCUCCUCCAAGGAACUUAAACAUUGACCAAGUCACCUUUUCACUGUAUUACCCUGUUAUAUCCUUACUUCUUUCUUUGUAUGUAUUUUAUUCCAUUCUAUGAACCAUCAUUAUAAAUAUUCCCAUCCUUAUAACUAUAGCUAGGUGCCUGGGCUCCCCUACCUGUCUCUUAUUUAGUUCUAAUUGCUCAGUAAAACCAUAUUCCUGGUUAGAUAGGACUCUCCAUCCACUUUCUGCUUUUACCUAGGCAUCUGAAUAUGCAGAGCAAUAUCACUAUAAAUGUGUGUCCACACACCUCAAAACUUCAGCACUGCUUAACAAUCCAAAUGCAAUAUCCUAUUUUACUUCUUACUCUCUGAGAAACUAUUUUAUACCUUGUCUUAUCCUCAAAAUGUGAACACAUUCUAUUCUCCUUAUUGCUGUCACCUGUUGAGUUGUUAUUAAUUCAAGAAGUAACCAGAAGAAAAUCUCCUUCUCCCACAACACAAACUGUAGAUCUACUUGCAUCUACACCCAUAAACUCUUUUUUCUUUUGUCAUGUAGUUAAUUUAUUGUUCACAGGCCUUUCAAAGCCAAACCCAAUGUGUUCAUACUGGAUUUUUAUCCCCGCUUGCCAACUCAAGGUCUUUGUUCCUAUGGUUCUUCUUUCUCCUGAAUCAGUUCCCCCUUUUCCACAUCAGCUUCGUUACCAUAAAACUGUGUGUAUCUACCAUUAUAAAAUAAAAAACAACUACUCUUUUAAUCAAACAUCUCUUCUAGAUACUGUUCUAUUUCUUUAACGCCCUGUAAAGAAAAAUCCUUUAAAAUGCAACUAUA
rnacentral:lncRNA from 1 species